AUCCAGCUGACGAGUUCCAAAUAGGACGAAACACGCGUCAAACUGGAU
rfam:Schistosoma curassoni strain Dakar, Senegal genome assembly, scaffold: SCTD_contig0006796